AGCACAAUUGCUGGGUUGUAUGGUAAGAAUAUGUUUAGUUUUGUAAGAAACUGCCAAACUGUCUUCCAAAGUGGCUGCACCAUUUUGCAUUCCCAGCAGCAAU
rnacentral:pre_miRNA from 1 species